GGUGAACCUGCUGCUGGAUCAUUAC
rnacentral:rRNA from 1 species